AUCCAGCUGAUGAGUCCCAAAUAGUAUGAAACACGCGUUCUGGAU
rnacentral:hammerhead_ribozyme from 1 species